ACGCCUGUCAGUGGAUGGCUCGGUUCGGGUGCCGACGAAGGGCGUGCCAAGCUGCGAUAAGCUCCGGGUAGGCGCAUGGAACCAUUGAACCGGAGAUCCCCGAAUAGGACAUCUGGAUGCAUGAGCAUCAUUCCGUCAUCGGAAAGGGAACGCCCCGAAUUGAAACAUCUUAGUAGGGGCAGGAGAAGAAACCAACCGGGAUGUCGUUAGUAGAGGCGAUCGAACACGACACAGUUCAAACCGAAUCCUUAUGGAGAUGUGGUGUAUGGACCGCGAUAUGAGACUAGCAUAAAGAGCUGAAGUUUUCUGGAACGUUAUACCAUAGAGGGUGACAGUCCCGUAAGCAAAUUUAUGCUGGCUUUAGCGAUUUCCUGAGUAACGUGGGUCGGAAUUCCCGCGUGAAUACGGGGGUCAUCAACCUCCAAAACUAAAUACUCCCCGAAACCGAUAGCGUAGUAGUAGCGUGAGCGAAAGCUGAAAAGCAACCCUGGAAAGGUGUUGAAAAGUGCCUGAAACUGACAGGUUAUCGCGUGAUACGGCACGAAAGGAUCUUCGAAGCGAAGGAACCUGUUGCAAGACAUUAGUACGGGCUUUGUUGCCGGUGUCGUAUCGUACGUUUUGAAGAACGGGCCAGAGAGUUUAUUCUGUUGGCGACGGUUAAUUUCUAUGAAAGAAGCCAGAGGGAAACCAACAAGUCCGCAGCCGUAAGGUCAGGGACGACGUACUACCAGUGCGUGGAGUCAGCAGGAUAAGACCCGAAGCCCGGCGAUCUAUGCGUGGGCAGGUUGAAGCGUGCCGAAAGGUGCGUGGAGGACCGCAGGCGGUUUUGAUAUGCAAAUCAUUCGCGUGACCUGCGUAUAGGAGUGAAAGAUUAAUCGAGCCGGGCAUCAGCUGGUUCCUCUCGAAACAUGCCGUAGCAUGACCUGAUCUGAGAUCGACAGUGAGGUAGAGCACUGAUUGGGGAAGCUGGGGAAGAAAUUCCUCACUCUCCUGUCAAACUCCAAAUUCCCUGUCAUCGUAGACGAUCGGAAGUCCGCAUUACGGGGUAAGCUUGUAAUGCGUAAGGGAGACAACCCAGACCGUGGUUAAUGUCCCUCAGUGCAGGCUCAGUGUAAACACUGAAAGUAGUCCUGGGUCAAAGACAACUGGGAGGUGAGCUUAGAAGCAGCUACCCUUUAAAAAGUGCGUAACAGCUUACCAGUCAAGAUUCAGGGCGCUGAAAAUGGACGGGGCUUAAGCCUGCCACAGAUACCACGGACCAUACUAAUAGUAUGAUGGCGUAGAGAGGCGUCCUGCAUGGGCGGAAGCAGGGUUGCAAGAUCCUGUGGACCGUGCAGGAAUGAAAAUUCUGGCAGUAGUAGAAGCUUAAGAUUGGUGAGAAUCCAAUCCGCCGCAGGGGCUAGGUUUCCUCGACAAUGUUCGUCAGUCGAGGGUUAGUCGGUCCUAAGACGUACCGUAAUUCGAGUACGCCAAAAGGGAAACAGGUUAAUAUUCCUGUACCUGUAUCAAACAAUCCUGACGCUUUCGGAUAGGCAUUACGGAGCCGUCGCUCCGUCUAAGCUGGAUAUGAAACUGGAGUACCGUAAUGGUGAGAACGUUUCUAAACAGUGAUGGGGUAACAAUGCUGAUUCCAGGAGCCCGUGAAAAGGGUGAUACAGUCCGUACCGAGAACUGACACAGGUGCCCCUCGCUGAAAAGGCGAAGGCGUGUCGGGAUUAAUUGUGUUAAGGGAACUCGGCAAAUUAGCCCUGUAACUUUGGGAUAAGGGGUGCCUGCCCAGCGAUUGGGCAGGUCGCAGUGACAAGAUCGCCCCGACUGUCUAAUAACAACAUAGCAGACUGCAACUCCGAAAGGACUGGUAUAGUCUGUGAUUCCUGCCCAGUGCGAGUAUCUGAACACCGGGUUCAACCGGACGAAGGACUCGUAAACGGCGGGGGUAACUAUGACCCUCUUAAGGUAGCGUAGUACCUUGUCGCUUAAUUGGCGACUUGCAUGAAUGGAAUAACGAGAGCGAUACUGUCCCUAACACAAACCCGUUGAACCUUUUGUACUAGUGCAGAGACUAGUGACUCCUUAUGGGAAGUGAAGACCCCGUGGAGCUUUACUGCAGCCUGUCGUUGGAUUACGGUAUUACCUGCGCAGGGUAGAUGGGAGACGUCGAACUGUCCCUUGUGGGGGACAGGGAGUCAACGAUGAGACACCAUCCUGGUUUUAUUGUAAUUCUAACUGAUUUAUCAGGACAUCGAUAGGUAGGCAGUUUGGGUGGGGCGCCACACCCUCGAAAAAAUAU
rnacentral:rRNA from 1 species